UUGCAUCGAUUGAAGAACGUAGCAAACUGCGAUACUUGGUGUGAAUUGCAGAAUCCCGUGAACCAUCGAGUCUUUGAACGCAAGUUGCGCCCGAAGCCAUCAGGCCGAGGGCACGUCUGCCUGGGCGUCACGC
rnacentral:rRNA from 1 species